GGGGAUUUGCCAUGGGGGAACCCUGAUGCAGCAACGCCGCGUGAAGGAAGAAGGUUUUCGGAUCGUAAACUUCUAUCAGCAGGGAAGAAAAUGACAGUACCUGACUAAGAAGCCCCGGCUAACUACGUGCCAGCAGCCGCGGUAAUACGUAGGGGGCGAGCGUUAUCCGGAAUUACUGGGUGUAAAGGGUGCGUAGGCGGUAAGGUAAGUCAGAUGUGAAAGCCCUAGGCUCAACUUAGGGACUGCAUUUGAAACUGCCUUACUAGAGUGCAGGAGAGGAAAGUGGAAUUCCUAGUGUAGCGGUGAAAUGCGUAGAUAUUAGGAGGAACACCAGUGGCGAAGGCGACUUUCUGGACUGUAACUGACGCUGAGGCACGAAAGCGUGGGGAGCGAACAGGAUUAGAUACCCUGGUAGUCCACGCCGUAAACGAUGAGUGCUAGGUGUUGGCCCUUAAGGGUCGGUGCCGAAGUUAACACAUUAAGCACUCCACCUGGGGAGUACGAUCGCAAGAUUGAAACUCAAAGGAAUUGACGGGGGCCCGCACAAGCGGUGGAGCAUGUGGUUUAAUUCGAAGCAACGCGAAGAACCUUACCAGGUCUUGACAUCCCAUUGACCGUAACUUAAUCGUUACUUUCUCUUUUGAGACAAUGGAGACAGGUGGUGCAUGGUUGUCGUCAGCUCGUGUCGUGAGAUGUUGGGUUAAGUCCCGCAACGAGCGCAACCCUUAUCUUUAGUAGCCAGCAAGUUAAGUUGGGGACUCUAGAGAGACUGCCGGGGAUAACUCGGAGGAAGGUGGGGAUGACGUCAAAUCAUCAUGCCCCUUAUGAUCUGGGCUACACACGUGCUACAAUGGCGGAUACAAAGGGAAGCGAAGGAGUGAUCUGGAGCAAACCCCAAAAAAACCGUCCCAGUUCGGAUUGUAGUCUGCAACUCGACUACAUGAAGUUGGAAUCGCUAGUAAUCGCGAAUCAGAAUGUCGCGGGAAUACUUCCCG
rnacentral:rRNA from 1 species